GUCGAACGAGAAAGCCCUUCGGGGUUAUUAAAGUGGCGAACGGGUGAGUAACACGUGGGCAAUCUGCCCUUCGUUGGGGGACAACCGGGGGAAACCCCGGCUAAUACCCCGUAAGCUUGUCGGGUCACAUGGCCUGACAAGGAGAGGUAGCUUCGGCCAUCCGGCGAAGGAGGAGCCCGCGGUACAUUAGCUAGUUGGUGAGGUAACGGCUCACCAAGGCUACGAUGUAUAGCUGGUCUGAGAGGAUGAUCAGCCACACUGGGACUGAGACACGGCCCAGACUCCUACGGGAGGCAGCAGUCGGGAAUCUUGCACAAUGGGCGAAAGCCUGAUGCAGCAACACCGUGUGAGCGAUGAAGGCCCUAGGGUCGUAAAGCUCUGUUUGCGAGGACGAAGGGCGAAGGGUUAAUAGCCCUUAGCCUGACGGUACUUGUACAGAAAGCCCCGGCUAACUACGUGCCAGCAGCCGCGGUAAUACGUAGGGGGCGAGCGUUGUCCGGAAUUAUUGGGCGUAAAGAGCGUGUAGGCGGCUUGGUAAGUCUGCUGUGAAACCUUGGGGCUCAACCCCAAGCGUGCAGUGGAUACUGUCAAGCUAGAGGAUGGUAGAGGCCAGUGGAAUUCCCAGUGUAGCGGUGAAAUGCGCAGAUAUUGGGAGGAACACCAGUAGCGAAGGCGGCUGGCUGGGCCAUUCCUGACGCUGAGACGCGAAAGCUAGGGGAGCGAACAGGAUUAGAUACCCUGGUAGUCCUAGCCGUAAACGAUGAACACUAGUGUGGGGGGGAAGUCGAAUCCCUCCGUGCCGAAGCCAACGCGUUAAGUGUUCCGCCUGGGGAGUACGGCCGCAAGGCUAAAACUCAAAAGAUGACGGGGGCCCGCACAAGCAGCGGAGCAUGUUCUUUAUCGAUGCAACGCGAAGAACUUACUGACUGACAUGCACUGCAGCGCACGGAACUGGGACUUCAGGUUGGCCAAGGGCUGCAUGCUGCCUCAGCUUGGCGGGAAUUUGGUUAAUCCCGAA
rnacentral:rRNA from 1 species